AUUUCCAGCCUAGUUAGCAUAGGAUCUCCUUGUAUCCCUAACCAUUUCCCUUCAUGUUUGAAUUUUAAUGUCAAUAUUUCCCAGUUGAAUCGGCAAAAAAUUCUGAAUAUUUUAUAUCCCUUAUACCACCAAUUUUAUGUUUUUGCAGAUGCUAGUGCCCUUCAGUUGAUGUCCAUCUCUAACCAUAACUCCAAAAUUUUUAGUAGGAAGCACAAGUAAAUCAAUUUUCUUGACCAAUUCUUUUGAAAUGAAAUUGCGACUAGCCCCACUGUCAAUUAAAAUUCUUACCUCAUGACCUGUGAUUUUUUCGACGACCUUAAAUGUUUGAUAUGGACUGAUUCUAGUGAUUGAAUGGACAACUAAUUCAAUGGGUUCUUCAAGAACAUUUUCUGUCAUAACCUCAACAUCUGGAGUGAUCGUUGAUGGCACUGGUGGUUGGGCCCGAAUGGUUCAUCACAACGGAAACACAACCUCUUUAAAUACUUGUCUUGUUGUUCAGCCUCAGGGAGACACCAAAAAGGUAAUCGGCACAUGUUACUGGCUUGACCGAAGAUCCUUGUUAGUGGUUAUCGGCCUGAAUCGAUGCUACUCGAGUUUGCCGGGGGAUGAUCUAGAGUCGGGUUGAAGGGAGUUCGGGUUGGUGUCGUCAGAUUGAGUUGGGUGAAAGAGAUGGCUUCUGUGGUUGGGCCUUUGUAGUUAGGCUGGGUAGCGUGAUUUUCUUAGGUUGUGGGUGGUUGUUGCUGCGUUGGGCUUGGGCUGGAUGUGUUGGGUUCCCAGUGUGGGAAAGGGUUGAUAGUGUUGUGGUUGGGUCUGUUAGGCCACGUGUGUGUCUCCCUGACCGAGUACAGAGCAGCAUUCUUGUCUUCAAUCCGUUAGGCCGUUCUCAUGGCUUGUGAUAGGUUGGCGGGUUCCAUGACUCGUAUCUCGGCCCGAAUUUCAUCUUUUAACCCAGAAACGAAGGCAUCUUUCAAGGCUCCAUCUGAGAGAUCCAGAAGAGAGGCCGACAAUUUUUCAAAGUGGAAUCUGUAGUCGCCAACGGAACCAUGCUGCCAGAGAAAAAGGAGUUCCUCAUACGAUGUGCCAUCCUAAGUCAGUCGAAACCUUUCAAUCAGUGCUUCUUUAAACUCUUCCUAGCUACCGAACGAUCCCCUGGUCUGUUCCCAUUGAAGCUAUGUCCGUGCUGGUCCUUCCAUACACACGCCGGCUGCUGGGACUUUGUCUUCUGCUCUGACGCGAUUGACGGAGAAGUAUUUGCCUGCCCUAAAAAUCCAUCCGACCGGAUCUUCGCCACCAAAUAUUGGUAUCUCAAUUCGUCAUGUAUAGACAUCACAACCUCUGCCCCCAAUGACUUCUCCUCCUCGCAGAUCGUGCCUCCCUUAGCUCAAUUUGGAUGCCCUUUAAUUCUUCUCUGACCGCUCCCAUUUCUGUUACUUCUUUCUCCAGCAGGAGCUGCUCUGAACCUACUCUCACCUCUGCUUCAACCGUGCUGCAAUUAUGAUGGAAUUGAGAAUAAUUGGGAUGUAAUGAAUUGAAUAGAAUAGAAUGAAUAACUACUAAUUUUUUGAUUGCAGAAAGUAUUAAGAGUACACCUGUUUUAUUGAAUAGCUAAAGAAUAAACCAAUACCCCGGAGCUGCAAUGCACAGCACCCAAAGGUCCAUAGCCCUAAGCCCCCGAAUCCCACCUAAUAACCUGUAUAUUUCCCUGAUGCCCCUUCUACAUUGCUCUGCCGCCUUUUUAUUGUUGAAUAGGCUGCUGGAUGGGUCCUAUCUUCUUUCUUUGGGUUAUCAUUAUCUCCCUCUUUUGAUUUGUCCUUAUCCUGACUCUCUUGCAGUGUUUCACCCUGCUUCAUGGAAUUAUUUUGAUAAUGUUUAUCUUUCACUGUUGCUAUCACAGCUGGUGGCAUCUGAUAACUCUUGAUAAUUGGGGGUCUAUCAGAGAGAUACAAGCUCCUUAUAAUAGUCCAGUUGUGAUAUGGUGUGAUAACUUGAGUACAUGAGCACUAGCUUCAGAUGUUGUUCUUCACUAUAGAAUAAAACAUAUAAAAAUCGAUGCUCAUUUCAUAAGAGAACAGGUAGCAUAAAAAAUUCUUUGGGUACCGCAUGUACCUACAGAGUUUCAGGUUACCGAUAUCUAGACUAAACCACUCUCUACAAUCAGGAUUUCAGUGUUGAGGUCAAACUGAAUAUUGGGUUGGAUAAUAAGAAAGAAGUUGAUGGUUCCAGAAAAACAGAAAAAGUAAAAAACUGUUAAUUGAGAGGUGAAGUUAUGGCUCAAGGAGGAGAUGAUUGAUACACUCUGUGAAACAAUUUAAUGUUGAGUCAGCAUUGGUGUUCAAGAAGGGAGCUGUAAUUCAGGGAGCAGAUAAUUGGUGUAUACAGUUAUGUUUGGGUUGUGAUCUUAUGUUUUUUAUGAUUGUAGGUUUGUGAUUUUUUUCCCUUUUUUAUAGGUUUAUUGCAUUAAUGUUGUUGGCCAAUUAGGAUAGUAGAAAUGGUGCCAUCAGGAGUGUGAUAAUGUGUAAAUGUUUGCAGUUGUUGGCUCUGAUUAUGUGCUUGAUAAUUGCAGUUAAGUGUUGAUUGUUGAGUAUUGCAGGAUGCAAUAAUACAUGUUGAAUGGAAGCAGCUUGUGUAGCUGAUAAUGAAGGCAACAAUGUAGUUGAUGGUUGAGAUGUGAUGAUAUUCCUUUGGGAAAUGUGUAGUUAUUUGGCUGCUGUAAUUGAUAAUAAUUGGGUCAGCUGGAAUGGGUUCAGAAUAAUGUUAUCAUCAAUUUUCUGUAUCCCGUAUUUCUGGAUGUAUGCUUAUACUUAUUUUGCAAGCCAUACAUUGCAUUUUAGUU